rnacentral:rRNA from 1 species
UACGAAGGGGGCUAGCGUUGCUCGGAAUCACUGGGCGUAAAGGGUGCGUAGGCGGGUCUUAAGUCGGGGGUGAAAUCCUGGAGCUCAACUCCAGAACUGCCUUUGAUACUGAAGAUCUUGAGUUCGGGAGAGGUGAGUGGAACUGCGAGUGUAGAGGUGAAAUUCGAUAGAUAUUCGCAGGAACACCAGUGGCGAAGGCGGCUCACUGGUCCGAUACUGACGCUGAGGUGCGAAAGCGUGGGGAGCAAACAGGG